AACAAGAUGUCCCCCAGCGGCGGAGCUCCCCAAACCACCCCGACUCUGAGGAGUCGUCCAAAAGAUCUUCCUGUGAGAAGGAAGACUGAUGUGAUCAGUGACACGUUCCCAGGUAAAAUCAGAGAUGGCUACAGAUCCAGCGUUCUUGACAUUGACGCCCUGAUGGCUGAGUACCAGGAGCUGUCGCUGAAAGUCCCUGGGGAGGCUCAGGAGAGGAGGAGUCCCACCGCGGAGCCCAGUACGUUGCCUCGGGAGAGGCCUGUUCAGCUGGGCGGGGUGGAGCAGAGAAGGAGGAGCCUGAAGGAGAUGCCCGAUACCGGGGGUCUCUGGAAACCGGCCAGUUCUGCCGAAAUAAACCACAGUUUCACUCCUGGCUUAGGCAAGCAGCUGGCAGAGACCUUGGAGACAGCCAUGGGCACCAAAUCUAGCCCUCCCUUCUGGGCUCUGCCACCCUCGGCUCCUUCUGAAAGGUAUCCAGGGGGCUCUCCUAUACCUGCGGAUCCCAGGAAAAAAACGGGGUUUGCUGAGGAUGACAGAAAGGCCUUUGCCAGUAAACAUCAUGUUGCAAAGUGUCAGAAUUACCUGGCUGAGUCAAAGCCCUCUGGUCGGGAGGAUCCAGGCAGUGGGGUCAGAGUGUCACCCAAAUCGCCCCCCACUGACCAGAAGAAAGGGACCCCAAGGAAAUCCACCGGGCGGGGAGAGGAGGACAGUGUGGCCCAGUGGGGUGACCACCCACGUGACUGUGGACGGGUGCCGCUGGAUAUCAAGAGGGCCUGCUCAGAGAAGGGGCCCCCUGCCAACAUCCGAGAGGGCCUGUCCAUCAUGCAUGAAGCCAGAGAGAGGAGGCGAGAGCAGCCCAAAGGGAGGCCCAGCCUUACUGGAGAGAAUUUGGAGGCCAAAAUGGGACCCUGUUGGUGGGAGUCAGGGACUGGAGACAGUCACAAGGUGCUGCCACGGGACCUGGAGAAGGAGGAUGCCCCCCAGGAGAAGGAGCGACCGCUCCAGCAGGUGUCCCCUGUGGCCUCGGUUCCCUGGAGAAGCCACAGCUUCUGCAAAGACAGGAGGAGUGGGCCCUUUGUGGACCAGCUGAAGCAGUGUUUCUCCCGGCGGCCCACUGAACCCAAGGACACUGACACCCUCGUGCACGAAGCCGGCAGCCAGUAUGGGACGUGGACAGAGCAGUGCCAGAGCGGGGAGAGCUUGGCCACUGAGUCCCCAGAUAGCAGUGCCACAUCGACAAGGAAACAGCCCCCCAGCAGCCGUUUGUCUUCUCUGUCCUCCCAAACGGAGCCCACCUCGGCAGGGGACCAGUAUGACUGCUCCAGGGACCAGCGGAGCACCAGCGUGGACCACUCCAGCACUGACCUGGAAUCCACCGAUGGGAUGGAGGGGCCGCCUCCACCGGACGCCUGCCCUGAAAAGAGAGUAGAUGACUUCUCCUUCAUUGAUGUAAGUCAGUGGCCAGGAGCAUUUCUUCUUAAAUGGAAAUUCCAGCCUGUCUCUGUGAAUUGCCACUUCAGGUGUAGGAUCUGUGUGCCAGGGACCCUUGGAGUGGGUACGGAGGGCACUGUCUUUGAAAUGGGACUCACUUAUGCAUGUAUCUUGGACCUGCCAUACACCUGCUGUGUGUCUUGGGGCAAAUGUCUUCACCUCUCUGAGCCUCAGCUUCCUUAUCCACUUGUAACCAGCAUCAACAGCUCCACAGCCUCAAAUACAAUUGCAUGCAUUCAAAUUAAAACUGAUCUAAGCCCUCACCUGCCAGGUAAGCAGGGAGUCUGACCACUUACCCCUGGGCAGUCACCCUGAGGUUUAUAGUUGCAAGCAUGAAGAGCCUGGAGUUUGCUCAGAAUGAUUCUGCUGAACGUUCUCACUAAGGUCUUGCUUGGUACAACAGUGUCCCUGGUAUCAGGGGAUCCGACUGUCUCUGUAGUGGCUCUUCCAGGACAGAAAGUCCCCUCAGGCAUGGGCACCUUUCAUGGAGGUCCCAGGGGACAGCCCCUAGCACUCAGCUCUUUCAGGUCCCAAGCACAGCCAGGAUGUCAGCUGCCCCAGCGUAGCAGGUCAAACGGUCUCCUGCUCUAGCAUCUUCCAGACCAGAACUUAUCCUCCUUUCCCCUGGGAGCCCCAUCUCCAGGGGUCAGGCAGGUCUUCCUUUUCAACCCUUGAAACCCAGGAGUGAUGUCAUUAUUCUCCUCGCAUAACAAUAGGGCUACCUGCCCACUCUCUGGGGGAUGGAAUGUCUGCAAAAUGUGAAAGGGACCCUCUCUCCUCGCAGUAAAGCCUCCCACCUACACACUUGGGCAUGGCUACCCACAUUUCCCCAGAGGAGGAACACCGCUGCUUUAGAAAAAGGGCUUCCUUUAGGGCUUCAAAGAGGAUUCUCCUUCAGUAUAUGGCCAAGGUCUCUCGCUGGCACCUCUAGAUCAGGGCAGAGACAAAGAAAGACACAAGUUGAGUCUUGAUUGGGAAACCCCAUUAUAUAACCAUGGCCAUGCCCACCUCCCUGGGUGUCAUCAGGAUUUAGUUGGGUGAUAUAUUCAGUUAUUCACUCAACAGACAUGUAUUGAGAUCUUGCUGUGUGCCUUACAUACCAGCAUCAUGUCACUGCAUCAUGAACUUUCCUGCUAGAACGCUAAGUGGUUCCUUCUUGAUGUCCAUUAUAAACAACAGUCAGUGAGUGUUGACCACUGGCCCAGGCACAUGUUAAUAACCCCAGAGGCAAAACUGCCUGCCCAUUUUGCAAAUUAGCAAAUCAAAGUGGCCAUGGAGUGACUCUAAAUGCUGGUGUCCCUAAGCAUAGGUCUAACGCUUACUGAAAUUAUACUGAGGUUUAUGUGUGAUGCCCACCAUGAUUUGGGUCUCCUGUGGGGAUACUGAGGUUUAUGUAUGGUGCCAACCAUGAUUUAGGUCUCCUGUGGGGACGGUUUGGAGGCCAAAUGGGGAGGCGGAGGCGGGGCACUAAGGAAUCCAGUCUCUGUACCAGGCUGAGGAUGCAAGGGUGGCACCAUCUUCCCCUCCAAGCCAGCCCCUCUGUCAGCGUGAUUCUGUCCUGCUCUCUUGGACUCUGAAAACCUGGCUCUGUUAAGUGGCCGGAGAAGCAAGCCUGCCUCUAGGUGCAGCAGGCACUUUCUGAUUUCUGUCUUUCCCCCUCUUUCGCUGGUCCCGUGCAAGUCUCCUCACAAGAUACCACUGUGGCUGGUUUGGGAAGUAGCUAUGAUCAGCUCCUUCCACCACCCCAUUGGGACUUUUGUUACUUACCAUUGUUGGGAAAUGAUUCAUUGAAAUUAGCCUGUCAUCACUGACUUAGAAGGCCUUGGGUGAUGGAAUUUCUCCAAAGUGGACCUAGGUGGAAGAAACCAACAUUUCAUGUAAGAACGUGAGCUUGCCGGAAAGAGCUCUUGGCUGUGAGCCGUGGUCAGGCUCUGACUGAAACAAGGGCUUUCCACACCUGAGCACAGGGAGUUCUCUCAGCCACUGUAGGAAGGAGGCACUCUGUUUAUCUCCUUUUUAUAAAUAGGGACACCCAAGCUCAGAGAAGUGAAGCUCAUUGCCCAAGGUCACAUAGCCAGGAUUCGAACCCAGCAGAGUUUGAACCCCAGCUCUGAGCACUUCACUGCUGUCUCCCAGGAGAAUUCUGAGCCAGGCACUUCCCAUCUCCUUACUGGGGCCCACCCAGAUGGUCUGUGCUCCCCACCCUUUCACUGGGGAUAGUAGUGACUUGGCAGCCCUCACCAACCCCCCACCUGUCGCAGCUCAGAGUGUGAGUCUUCAGGGAUGCCUGAAAAUUGACUCCUGAUGUUUAGUAAGCUGCCCCCUCCCUUCCCACCUGCACCCUAGAUUAUGUGAGUAAUGGAGGAAUUCCACGGAGAAUGUCUCAACCCGGGGACUCUGUGUGAAUACAGUUGACAGAAGGAUUUAGUUAGAUGUUGAAUCCAUUAUUCAUUCAACAAACAAACAUUUAUUGAGCUCCUGCUGUGUACUGAUCAUUGCUGUAGAUUACAUGCUUGUGUGGUGGAUGUCACUGGGAGGGAAAAGGCAUUUGUAUUAUGUGCCUACUGGGUGCCAGGCAGCCAGGCACUGUACUCGGGCACUCAAGGUUCAUUGUUCCACCUGACUUUUGUCAUCAGCCUAUGGGGUAUGUUUUAUGGGGAAAUUUAGGCUUUGGGUGUUAGGUUACUGUUAAAAUGUGGAAGCCCUGGCCUAGGUACCACCUAAAUAGCCUCUUAUCUGUCAGCGAAGCUGUGUACCACCAACUGUGUUGUGGUACCCUCCAUUGAUGGUUCCCUUGAUUUUUUUCCUCUUCCUCCCUGCUGCUCCCAAAGCAAACCUCAGUCCUCGACUCAAGUGCCCUCAAGACCCGGGUGCAGCUCAGCAAGAGAAGCCGCCGCCGGGCCCCCAUCUCCCACUCCCUCCGGCGCAGCCGAUUUAGUGAGUCCGAGAGCAGAUCACCUUUGGAGGAUGAGACUGACAACACGUGGAUGUUCAAAGACUCAACGGAGGAGAAAUCACCCAGGAAGGAAGAGUCAGAUGAGGAGGAGAAGCCAUCCAAAGCUGAGAGGACCCCCGUCAGCCAUCCUCAGAGGAUGCCCGCGUUUCCAGGCAUGGAUCCGGCAGUGCUAAAGGCUCAGCUGCACAAGAGGCCAGAGGUGGACAGUCCUGGCGAGACCCCCAGCUGGGCACCCCAACCCAAGAGCCCCAAGUCCCCCUUCCAGCCUGGGGUGCUGGGCAGUCGCGUGCUGCCUUCCAGCAUGGACAAGGAUGAGAGGUGAGGGGUCUUGGGGAAUGGGGGUCCCUCUCCUUCCAAACUCAGGGUAUACUUCUAGAGAGGUGCUCGCAUAGGUUUUAGAGCUGAAUAGAAGAGAGUUUCAACUUUUUAAUUUUGUCUAGCAGCAGAAGCUUUGUUCAUGUGAAUUCUCAAUACUCAGAUACCUAAAAGGUACAACACAGGCCGGGGAAGGAGGCCAGGAAUCAGGCCAGCUGGCCUCUCCUCUUCCCCCGCCCACUGCCACCUGCUACAUGGAAUGCCAGGGCACCAUUGUUGGAGAACUACUGAUCUAGUUUAGCCCUCUCCAGACCGAUGGGGAAACUGAGGCAUUCUCCCUCCUCUUCCCCUUUGGGGAAGUAUCUUUAUCGUAAGAGAUCUGGAGGACCUGGGAAGGUGGAUCAAAGGGCACGGCCAGGUUGAAUGAGAUCAGUUUCACUCCCUUCGUGGAACAGCUAUCCCGAUCCUGGGCUGUUGUGUGUAGAGACGAGCACAAAGCAGCUUCUGCCCCCCAAGAGGCUCUCAGGCUCUCAGGCUCUCAGAGGGGUGUUUCAGCAGCUGGAGGUGGAGGUUAAGAACAGGGGAUCUAAGGUCACACAGCCAGGGUUUAAUUCCACCAUUGCUGCUUAAGAGCUGCAUGACAUGGGAAAAGGUACUUGACCUCCUGAACCUCAGUUUCCUCAUCUGUAAAGUGGGUUUUCUAACCUCCUAACCUUCCGAGGUGGUCAUGAGGAUGAAACAAGAGUGUGUCUAAAGCCCUGUGCCUGAGCCCUGGGAUGUAGAAGUACUCAGUGAAGCAGAGUGGAAAUCUUAUCAUGAGCACUGUUAAUCCAUGAAAGUUAGGGAUUGUUCCUGAUGCUAGAGUUGUAAUGAUAGUAAGGGCUGGCUGGAUCAGAGCAAGAGUGGGUAAGCUAUGGCCCACAGGCCAAAUCCAGCCCACAUCUGUUUUUGUGAGUAAGCUUUAUUGGAACACAGCCACAUGCAUUCAUUUAUGUAUUGUCUAUAACUGCUUUAGUGCUACCACUGCAGAGUUAAGAAGGAGCACAGAUGCCCCACAGCCCACAGAAUCAGGAAUAUUUUACUCUCUGGCCCUUUCUCUGACCCCUGUGAUGGAGGGAGGCAGAUGAAGGGCUCAUAAUGCACACUUGAGGAUGGGCGGCAGAAAAGACUUCCAGCUGGGUGCAGUGGCUCACGUCUAUAGUCCCAGGACUUUGGAAGGCAGAGGUGAGAGGAUCACUUGAGGCCAGGGGUUGGAGGCUGCAGUGAGCUAUGAUUGCACCAUUGCACUCCAGCCUGGACUAAAUAAAGAAUGAGACCUUGUCACGAAAAAUAAAAAAAGAAAUAAAGAAA
rnacentral:sRNA from 1 species